rnacentral:lncRNA from 1 species
CCGCCUUUGGCUCAGGGUUCCGGGCAACCCGGAGGAAGUGGGGGCUGCGGGGCUGGCUCCGAGUGGCAGACUGGGGACGAGACGGUCGCUGCUGCCAGGCGUCCCAAGUCUGGACAGUUGCGUGGCUGGCACGGCCACACUUUGCGCAGAGUGGGGCGCGGGGCAGCGGCAGAGAGCGCCUGAGCAGGCCCGGGCAGCGGGCCGUCUGCGGACGGGACCUUCACCUGCCCCGGGCCGGGAGGGAGCGAUUCGCCCUGCGCGUAAAGGCGCCACGAGAACGUCUUUGGGCGCUGAAGCCAGUUGCACCUGUCUCCCCCUUGGAACAUUCUCGCUGGAACUUGUGGGUGCAGGAAGCAUCCUCAGAUUCUCUCUUCCUGCUGCCGUCAUGUCUGUCAGAGUCUCCUAGAGAGCCCGAGCAGCUGCGGAAGCUCUUCAUCUGCGGCUGCACUUUGAAACAACUGAUGAAGCCUGAGGA